CCUACGGGUGGCUGCAGUAGGGAAUCUUCGGCAAUGGACGGAAGUCUGACCGAGCAACGCCGCGUGAGUGAGGAAGGUCUUCGGAUCGUAAAGCUCUGUUGCCAGGGAAGAAGGCUGGGGGGAGUCACUGCCCCCAAGGUGACGGUACCGGAGAAGAAAGCCCGGGCUAACAAAGGGCCAGCAGCCGCGGUAAUACGGAGGGGGCGAGCGUGGUCCGGAGUUAGUGGGCGUAAAGCGCGCGCAGGCGGCCGGAGAAGUCUCAUGUUUAAACCUGGGGCUUAACCUUGGGGCGCGUGGGAAACUGGUCGGGUUGAGUGCAGGAGAGGGAAGCGGAAUUCCACGUGUAGCGGUGAAAUGCGUAGGGAUGUGGAGGAACACCAGUGGCGAAGGCGGCUUUCUGGCCUGUAACUGACGCUGAGGCGCGAAAGCGUGGGGAGCAAACAGGAUUAGAUACCCGUGUAGUC
rnacentral:rRNA from 1 species